CCUGGCGCUGUCAGGGUUAACAGCAGGCCUCUGGAAACUUGAACUUCCCCAGAAGUGCUUGUGCAGCAAUUAGCAGAGCCCCACUCAGAUACAGAAAAAAGUCCCCUCGAUUAAAAAUAAACAAGCAGCCAAGGGUAUUGGAGCCAAGAGUCACCACUGUGUGCCCCAGGCCUGUGGCGGUUACCCCCUUUGCAGAAAAGCCCGCACCUUCCAGAACUGUGAUGGAGAAGCCGGAUGCUCUAGCAGGAUUCUGAGGAAAGGUGUGAAGGCUGGGGACAUCGUGGCAGGGAGUGGACCAACCUGGGUCCAGCCCCUCAGUUGUGCUCUGGGCAGUAUUGCCACCCUGAGACUGCUGAGAGUCCCUUGGACAUCAUGGAGGUCAAACCAGUCAACGCUAAAGGAAAUCGACCCUGUUGGCAGGACUGGUGCUGAAGCUGAAGCUCCAAUACUUAGGCUACCUGAUGCAAGGAGCCAACUCAUUUAGAGAAGACCCUGAUGCUGAGAAGGACUGAGGGCCAGAAGAGAUGGAGAUAACAGAGGGUGAGAUGGUUAGAUAGCAUCACUGACUCAAUGGGCAUGAGUUUGAGCAAACUCUGGGAGAUGAUGAAAGAGAGGGAAGCCUGGCGUGCUGCUGUUCAUGGGGUUGCAAGGAGGGGAACAAGACUUAGCGACUGAACAACAGCAACAGGCACGGAGAGCUUCAUGAUGGUGAUUGUUGGGCCAGUCCCCGUCAGCGCCCUGUCAACUUUUCGUAACCAUCAGAAUGUUUUUAAGAACCUGGAAGUUCAUUGCGUCACUGUUUUGCUUUCGGAGCUGCGCGUGAUUUCUCAGAAGGAGCGGCCCAGACCCGUCCUGUCUCCGAUGCUGACCCAGCCACGAAUUUCCACUUUACUG
ensembl:lncRNA